UACGGGGGGAGCAAGCGUUGUUCGGAAUUACUGGGCGUAAAGGGCUCGUAGGUGGCCAACUAAGUCAGACGUGAAAUCCCUCAGCUUAACUGGGGAACUGCGUCUGAUACUGGAUGGCUUGAGUUUGGGAGAGGGAUGCGGAAUUCCAGGUGUAGCGGUGAAAUGCGUAGAUAUCUGGAGGAACACCGGUGGCGAAGGCGGCAUCCUGGACCAAUACUGACACUGAGGAGCGAAAGCCAGGGGAGCAAACGGG
rnacentral:rRNA from 1 species